rnacentral:rRNA from 1 species
ACUCCUACGGGAGGCAGCAGUGGGGAAUAUUGCACAAUGGGCGCAAGCCUGAUGCAGCCAUGCCGCGUGUGUGAAGAAGGCCUUCGGGUUGUAAAGCACUUUCAGUCGUGAGGAAGGUAGUGUAGUUAAUAGCUGCAUUAUUUGACGUUAGCGACAGAAGAAGCACCGGCUAACUCCGUGCCAGCAGCCGCGGUAAGUACGGAGGGUGCGAGCGUUAAUCGGAAUUACUGGGCGUAAAGCGCAUGCAGGUGGUUUGUUAAGUCAGAUGUGAAAGCCCGGGGCUCAACCUCGGAAUAGCAUUUGAAACUGGCAGACUAGAGUACUGUAGAGGGGGUAGAAUUUCAGGUGUAGCGGUGAAAUGCGUAGAGAUCUGAAGGAAUACCGGU